rnacentral:rRNA from 1 species
GAUGAACGCUAGCGGGAGGCUUAAUACAUGCAAGUCGCACGGCAGCAUUAUUAUAGUAAUAUAAUAGAUGGCGAGUGGCGCACGGGUGAGUAACGCGUACACAACCUACCCUUAAGAGGGGGAUAACUCAGAGAAAUUUGGGAUAAUACCCCAUAAUAUCGUGAAUAUGCAUAUAUUUAUGGUUAAAGUUCCGGCGCUUAAGGAUGGGUGUGCGUUAGAUUAGGUAGUUGGUGAGGUAACGGCUCACCAAGCCGACGAUCUAUAAGGGGCGUGAGAGCGUGAUCCCUCACACGGGUACUGAGACACGGACCCGACUCCUACGGGAGGCAGCAGUAAGGAAUAUUGGACAAUGCCCGCAAGGGUGGUCCAGCCAUCCCGCGUGCAGGAAGACUGCCCUAUGGGUUGUAAACUGCUUUUAUCAGGGAAGAAACCCCUUGACUUGUUGAGGGUUGACGGUACCUGAUGAAUAAGCACCGGCUAACUCCGUGCCAGCCGCCGCAGUAACAC